CAGGGGAUAGUUUAAGUUAAAAUAUUAAUUUUGGAGAUUAGUGAUGGGUGUUACUCUUUUCCCUGA
rnacentral:tRNA from 1 species